rnacentral:rRNA from 1 species
ACGUAGGUGGCAAGCGUUGUCCGGAAUUAUUGGGCGUAAAGCGCGCGCAGGUGGUUCCUUAAGUCUGAUGUGAAAGCCCACGGCUCAACCGUGGAGGGUCAUUGGAAACUGGGGAACUUGAGUGCAGAAGAGGAUAGUAGAAUUCCAAGUGUAGCGGUGAAAUGCGUAGAGAUUUGGAGGAACACCAGUGGUGAAGGCGACUAUCUGGUCUGUAACUGACACUGAGGCGCGAAAGCGUGGGGAGCAAACAGGA